rnacentral:lncRNA from 1 species
ACCCCCGGGCAGGUUCUGGUGCUUGGAGCUGGACAAGAAAAGGCAGUGUGGGUGUGGAGGGCUCCCUGCCAGUUCCUGGGGCCUCUCUGUCCCCACUCCCCACGGCACCUCCCUGCCUGAUGCAUCACCAAACAGCCCCUCCUGGAUUCUGUUUCCUUGUGUCUUCUUGUCGGCCUGUUUUUACUGUCUUCUGCUAGGCGGCCCAUGGGCAGAGCUGGGACACUAGUGGGAAGGAAGGAAAGAAGGAAGAAGGCCCUGGCUGACGGGCCUGAGGACAAGACCCAAGGAGAGCCUCCCUGAAGAUGCCUAGCCUCCUCCUCUCUACCUUGGGAUCGCCUUGGUGCCAUCCUCAGUGUUUCCCCAGUGACGGGGUGGAGUAAGGAUGCACACAGCACAGGUGCCUGAGCCGGUUGGUCUGGAUUCCCAGGAAGAAUUCCAGGCAUGAUGGAUGGGCCACGUUCCGAUGUGG